GACGAACGCUGGCGGCGUGCCUAAUACAUGCAAGUAGGACGCAGUUGGGAACGGGUGAGUAACGAGUAGGUCACUAACUCUUAGCGGGGGGUAACUAUUGGAAACGAUAGCUAAUACCGAAUACUAGUAGAUGGACCAACGUUGUAUUAGCUAGUAGGUCGGGUAAUGUCCUACCUAGGAAACGAUACAUAACCGACCUGAGAUGGUUAACGGUCACACUGGGACUGAGACACGGCCCAGACUCCGACGGGAGGCAGCAGUAGGGAAGUUUCGGCAAUGGGGGGAACCCUGACCGAGCAACGCCGCGGGAGUGAAUAAGGUUUUCGGAUCGUAAAGCUCUGUUGUUAAGGAAGCGGUACUUAACCAGAAAGGGACGGCUAACUACGUGCCAGCAGCCGCGGUAAUUC
rnacentral:rRNA from 1 species